AUUGAACGCUGGCGGCAGGCCUAACACAUGCAAGUCGAGCGGAGCGGCGGACGGGUGAGUAAUGCCUAGGAAUCUGCCUGGUAGUGGGGGAUAACGUCCGGAAACGGGCGCUAAUACCGCAUACUAUCAGAUGAGCCUAGGUCGUAAUAGCUAGUUGGUGGGGUAAAGGCCUACAAAGGCGACGAUCCGUACCUGGCAUGAGAGGAUGAUCAGUCACACUGGAACUGGUACCAGGUCCAGACUCCUACGGGAGGCAAAAGUGGGGAAUAUUGGACAAUGGGCCAAAGCCUAAUCCAGCAAGGCCGCGUGUGUGAAGAAGGUCUUCGGAUUGUAAAACACUUUAAGUUGGGAGGCGUUACCAACAGAAUAAGCACCGGCUAACUUCGUGCCAGCAGCCGCGGUAAUAC
rnacentral:rRNA from 1 species